rnacentral:tRNA from 1 species
ACCUAGUUUAAUCAAAACAUUUGCUUGUCAAGCAAAAAUUACAAGUAGUUAUUUGUGUU